ensembl:lncRNA
UCACUCCGGAAACCACGGCCUAGACCACGACAGUCACUCCGGAAACCCACGGCCUAGACCACGACAGUCACUCCGGAAACCACGGCCUAGACCACGACAGUCACUCCCGAAUCCACGGCCUAGACCACGACAGUCACUCCCGAAUCCACCGUCUAGACCACGGCCUAGACCACGACAGUCACUCCCGAAUCCACCGUCUAGACCACGACAGUCACUCCCGAAUCCACCGUCUAGACCACGACAGGCAUUCCGGAAUCCACCGUCUAGACCACGACAGUCACUCCCGAAUCCACCGUCUAGACCACGACAGUCACUCCCGAAUCCACCGUCUAGACCACGACAGGCAUUCCGGAAUCCACCGUCUAGACCACGACAGUCACUCCGGAAUGUCAUCGUCCAUUCUAGAACACAGCUCUCACUCCGGAAUUAACCGUCCAUCGUAGAACACAGCUUUUGCUUCUGGAAUCCACCGACUGUUCUAGAACCCAGCCGUCACUCCGUAAUCCAGACUUGGAACACCGCUCUCAUGCCAGAAUUAACCGUCCUUCCUAGGACACGGUUGUGGGCGGAGCCUGUGGACAGAUGAUCUUUAACGAGCACUUUCUUCUCCUGCUGCUGGACGAGCUGAUACUGUAGUUUAUCGCCAUUGGUUAAGAGAAAAGCUCGACUUUUGCGCACCAAAAACGUUGUUAUAUUUAAUGAGAUUUUAUUUUUUAAGUGGGAAAAAAAAGAAAAAAAAGAGAGAGAAGUUUAGUUUAGUUUAUAAAUCACCGUUUCUGGACGUUUCUGUUCUCCGCUGGCGUGUCAGGGUCUUUAAAGCGAGAUGUAUUAAAGGCUUUUAGUACAGUCCGAUCAAGCCUUGGAACAAAACAAGGCCUUCUCUCAGUCCAGUGACAUGUGGGCUGGAAUCCCUGAAUAACACACACACACACACACACACACACACACACACACACACACACACACACACACACACACACUUUGGAGCAGGUAAAGCAGUCGAAGCCUCCAUUAUUUAAAAAAUAAAUCUGACCUUUUUGGAGAAAACUACAAAAAGACAGGAAAUGAUCCGUGGUGUGUUCCAUUACAGCCGCGUUCACACCAGCGAGCUCGGUUUUUAUUUUAAAUCCGUAACGUUAAUGCAAUAACGCGACGAUCCAGAUUUAUUCUUUUCCUCAGAGCGAAAUAUAACAAAAUAAAAUAAAAAAGGUACUUCAAUAAUAACAUGCUCUCAUAAAAAAAAAAGAAAACCUCCUAUUUGUUAUUGGAACUUACAGACCACGCCCACAAGAGACGACAUCCACCGUCGUUCCACACCCCCAGGAGACGGACCCGCUGCACGGCCGCUCGUCCUGCUCGCUAGUGUGAAUGCACGCUAACGUAUUAAAAAAAAAAAAAAAAUUAGAGGCUUCACGCAAUCCUAUCCCCAAAAACGAUACGACCCCCCCCCCCCCCGCCGUUUUCUACGAUAUUUCAUUUCGAUAGAUGACGCCAUUAGCGCAUGUCUACACCGCUGGAUCUGGCUGCGUACUUCAUGUACGGGGUCGUAAUCAUCCGCUUAAACUUGCCUCUUCGAUACGUCCCAUCAAAU